rnacentral:rRNA from 1 species
UACAGAGGUGGCAAGCGUUGUUCGGAAUUAUUGGGCGUAAAGGGCGCGUAGGCGGUUCGAUAAGUCCGGUGUGAAAUCCCUCGGCUCAACUGAGGAACUGCACGGGAAACUGACGGGCUUGAGUUCGGGAGAGGGAAGCGGAAUUCCGGGUGUAGCGGUGAAAUGCGUAGAUAUCCGGAGGAACACCAGUGGCGAAGGCGGCUUCCUGGCCUAGUACUGACGCUGUGGCGCGAAAGCUAGGGGAGCAAACGGG